GCUGGGCGUGGUGGCUCACACCUGUAAUCCCAGCAGUUUGGGAGGCUGAGGUGGGUGGAUCACCUGAGGUCAGGAGUUCGAGACCAUCCUGACCAACAUGGUGAAACCCCAUCUCUA
rnacentral:SRP_RNA from 1 species